rnacentral:rRNA from 1 species
CUUAACACAUGCAAGUCGAACGGGAAGGUUCCUUCGGGAACCGGCGAGUGGCGCACGGGUGAGUAACGCGUGAGGAUCUGCCUCGAAGUGGGGAAUAACCGCUGGAAACGGCGGCUAAUACCGCAUACGCCCUCAGGGGGAAAGCUUUAUGCGCUUCGAGAUGAACCCGCGUCGGAUUAGCUAGUUGGUGGGGUAAAGGCUCACCAAGGCGACGAUCCGUAGCUGGUCUGAGAGGAUGAUCAGCCACACUGGGACUGAGACACGGCCCAGACUCC